rnacentral:rRNA from 1 species
GAUGAACGCUGGCGGCGUGCUUAACACAUGCAAGUCGAACGGAAAGGCCCAAGCUUGCUUGGGUACUCGAGUGGCGAACGGGUGAGUAACACGUGGGUGAUCUGCCCUGCACUUCGGGAUAAGCCUGGGAAACUGGGUCUAAUACCGGAUAGGACCACUUCUUGGAUGUUGUGGGGGAAAGUUUUUUCGGGGUGGGAUGAGCUCGCGGCCUAUCAGCUUGUUGGUGGGGUAAUGGGCUACCCAGGCGUCGACGGGUAGGCGGCCUGAGAGGGUGUACGGCCAAAUUGGGAACUAGAUACGGCCCAGGAUCCUAAGGGAGGCAGCAGGUGGGAAUAUUGGACAAUGGGGGCAAGCCUGAUGCAGCGAAGCCGCGUGGGGGAUGACGGCCUUCGGGUUGUAAAAUCCUUUCGCUAGGGACGAAGCGUUUUGUGACGGUACCUGGAGAAGAAGCACCGGCUAACUACGUG